UACGUAGGGGGCAAGCGUUGUCCGGAAUUAUUGGGCGUAAAGAGCGCGUAGGCGGUCCGGUAAGUCAGCUGUGAAAGUCAAGGGCUCAACCCUUGAAAGCCGGUUGAUACUGUCGGGCUAGAGUCCGGAAGAGGCGAGUGGAAUUCCCGGUGUAGUGGUGAAAUGCGUAGAUAUCGGGAGGAACACCAGUGGCGAAGGCGGCUUUCUGGUCUGCUCUUGACGCUGAGGCGCGAAAGCUAGGGUAGCAAACGGG
rnacentral:rRNA from 1 species